rnacentral:lncRNA from 10 species
CUCCAGCGCUUUCCCGCCUGCUCCAGCUCCGUCUCCAGCUGCCAGGAUGGAGCCGGGUCGGGACCAUCCGGGAAAGGGGACGCCCUCCCGGACCCCGGCUCACCCUCGGGGGCGCCGGCUGCCCGCACGCGCCUCUCCCGCCACCAGCGCCGCCCCGGUAUUUAUGAGUUCGCGGGUGCCGAGGCCUCUUGCCGCCUACAGCCGUCCCAGCCCCGGAAGAGCCGGUCGCCUCGGGGUGACAGCCUCCCUAGACAGCCAGGGCCCCGGGUCCCACAGGUCCGGCCGGUCCUGCCUGGGCGCCCCACACCCACCCGCCCACCCCACCAGGGCGUGGCGCGGGAAGGGGGACCCAGGAAGGUUAUGAUACGUCUCCGGCGCGCCACCUCUGAGCCGGCCACCAGGUGAGAGCCCAGGCAGGUAACCCUGCGCUCGUCCCUCAGGCGCCCACUCAUCAGCUGGGGAGCCCCAGGGCACGGACACCGGCCCCUAUCCUGGCCCUGCCCGAUCCCCAGGUACCCAGGUGUGCAGGACCGGGGGAUCCCCAACCUUUCCAGCCUCGCUGCAUCUUCCUCCAGCCUUCCGGCUUCCUUCCUUUCCAUGCUGAGCCCACUGACCCCUCCUCAGAAGCCCGGGGCAACCUCAAAACAAAACCAGAAUCCCGGAAUUGCAGUGGGCUUUCUGAGCUGUGCGACCUAGAGACGAAGACUUGCGAUGUUGCCCAGGCUGGUCUCAAACUCCUAGGCUCAAGGGAUCCUUCCACCUUGGCCUCCCAGAGUGCUGAAAUUACAGGCGUGACCCACUGUGCCUGGCCAAGAAUAGUAAGAUGUUAAUGAUAGAAUCCAGUUGGAUAUAUGGCGGAUAUAUGUGUGUUCCUUGUAAAGGUCUUUCAGUUUUCCUGUGCAUUUGAAAAUGUUCAUAAUAAGAUGUUGGGGAAAAUGCUUGGGGACAUCCACGUAGUUGCUGUUGUCGACCUUUAUGGUGAAGCCACAGCAGCAACUGAUUCCCGAGUGAUUGACACGCUGUGUGUUCAUUUAAUGACCCUGACAAUCUUUAAUGCAGACUUUAGAAAUUUUACAGAUGGACCCAUUUUACAGACGAGGAAACUGAGGCUCAGCAAGGCUAAGCACCUUGUCGUGUGACCUACAGGUCACCGACUGGGUGGGGGGCAGACAAGGUGAAUGGUAGAGGGACAGCUCCCUUCCAGAAAGAACGGUAGCAUGCACCUGGGGACAGGGACCAGGGCUAACAGGUCUUGGGGUCCCCCCGGGAAUGAUCCCCGUUAUCGCAGCUUCCCUGUAUGGAGUGCUUGGCUGUGUGCCGAAUGCUCUGCAUGAGUAAUCCCAUUGAUACUGCAUGCUGCUUAUUAAGCCCAUUUUAUAGAUGGAGAAACUGAGGCUAGAGACAUUGAGCAGUUUACCUAAAAUCACACAACUGGUGUGUGGCAGAGAAGCCAGGACUAGAACCCUGGUGUGUCUGAUUUCAAAGCCUGGUGUGUGAAAACUUUUUUUUUUUUUUUUUUGAGACAGAGUUUCGCUCUUGUUGCCCAGGCUGGAGUGAAAUGGCAUGAUCUCGGCUCAAUGCAACCUCCGCCUCCCGGGUUCAAGCGAUUCUCCUGCCUCAGCCUAUGGAGUAGCUGGGAUUACAGGUGCGCACCACCAUGGC